rnacentral:misc_RNA from 1 species
GAAAUGCGAUAAGUAAUGCGAAUUGCAGAAUUUCUAGUGAGUCAUCGAAUCUUUGAACGCACAUUGCGCCCUUUGGUAUUCCGAAGGGCAUGCCUGUUCGAGCGUCAUUAUCAACCCUCAAGCCUGGCUUGUUGUUGGACCUCAGGUCGCCGCUCCGGUGGACCGGUCUCAAAGACAAUGACGGCGUCCGUGGGACCCUCGGUGCAAUGAGCUUCUUCCAAAGCACGCAUCAGAGUGGGCUCGCGGGGGCCGUCUCCCCGUCAUAUUUUAUCAAGGUUGACCUCGGAUCAGGUAGGAAUACCCGCUGAACUUAA